CAGUAGCCGCGGUAAUACGUAGGUGGCAAGCGUUGUCCGGAAUUAUUGGGCGUAAAGGGCUCGCAGGCGGUUUCUUAAGUCUGAUGUGAAAGCCCCCGGCUCAACCGGGGAGGGUCAUUGGAAACUGGGAAACUUGAGUGCAGAAGAGGAGAGUGGAAUUCCACGUGUAGCGGUGAAAUGCGUAGAGAUGUGGAGGAACACCAGUGGCGAAGGCGACUCUCUGGUCUGUAACCGACGCUGAGGAGCGAAAGCGUGGGGAGCGAACAGGAUUAGAUACCCGAGUAGUCCCUGUCUCUUAUAC
rnacentral:rRNA from 1 species